rnacentral:rRNA from 1 species
AUUGAACGCUGGCGGCAGGCUUAACACAUGCAAGUCGAGCGGAGAUGAGGUGCUUGCACCUUAUCUUAGCGGCGGACGGGUGAGUAAUGCUUAGGAAUCUGCCUAUUAGUGGGGGACAACAUUCCGAAAGGAAUGCUAAUACCGCAUACGUCCUACGGGAGAAAGCAGGGGAUCUUCGGACCUUGCGCUAAUAGAUGAGCCUAAGUCGGAUUAGCUAGUUGGUGGGGUAAAGGCCUACCAAGGCGACGAUCUGUAGCGGGUCUGAGAGGAUGAUCCGCCACACUGGGACGGAGACACGGCCCAGACUCCUACGGGAGGUAGCAGGGGGGAAUAUUGGACAAUGGGGGGAACCCUGAUCCAGCCAUGCCGCGUGUGUGAAGAAGGCCUUAUGGUUGUAAAGCACUUUAAGCGAGGAGGAGGCUACUGAGACUAAUACUCUUGGAUAGUGGACGUUACUCGCAGAAUAAGCACCGGCUAACUCUGUGCCAGCCGCCGCCGUAA